ensembl:snRNA
GUGUUGUAUGAAAGGAGAGGUUAGUACUCCCCUUGACCAGGAUGGAAGCGGCCCUUGGGCCUGAUAACAUGCAUACUGUUAAGGGAUUGUCACCCACUUCCUGGCUUCUAACCACCAUUUUUG